CCCGAAAAACAUUUAACCCGUCGCUGCACUGUGGAAGUUGAAGGCUUUUUUUUUUUGAUCGAGAGAGAGAAACUGAAGGAGGAUUAAAAUGGGCUUGACCCAUUAUUUGUUUAUUGGGCCGUGGGCCAGUUGACCCAAAAAGUAUUCUCUUUACAAACUCCACCGACGGAACCCCCUGGUGUUGGUCGUAGCAGUCACCGCCACCAGCAGAGGAUGAGUGAUUCGUGUUCGGAGACCGUUAGAUUGAUGAAGCUUGCAAUAGAUCAGGCAAACUUAGCUAUGGAUGCCCUUGAAGUACCCGUUGGCUGUGUGAUUGUUCAUGACGGGAAGGUUGUAUCCUCCGGCAGGAACCGAACCACUGAGACUAGAAAUGCUACUAGGCAUGCAGAAAUGGAAGCAGUGGACGUGCUUUUAGAGCAGUGGCAGAAAAAUGGAUUAUCAAUGUCUGAGGUUGCUGAAAAGUUCUCAAACUGCACCCUUUAUGUUACCUGUGAACCAUGCAUAAUGUGUGCUUCUGCUUUGUCCAUUUUAGGUAUAAAGGAAGUGUUUUAUGGGUGCUCAAAUGAUAAAUUUGGAGGUUGUGGAUCAAUAUUGUCAUUGCAUCAAAGUAGCACUGACUCACCCAACAAUGAAGUUCCACUGGGAAAAGGGUUUAAAUGUACUGGAGGUAUAAUGGCAUCAGAAGCGGUGCUUCUCCUGCGAACAUUCUAUGAACAGGGAAAUCCAAACGGUUGGUUUGUUCUAAGUUUGACCAUAUAUUUGGAACUCUUUUCUUUGUCAGUUAUUUUAUAUUUUUAUAACUUUUCUUAAUGUUAUUCUCAGCUCCGAAGCCCCAUAGGCCUGUAGCAGUAGCUUCUGACAAGAAUGAACUUGAACUUGUACAUCAAUAGUUCUGUCCAGUUAGUUGCUGAUAUGGUUGAAGCUGUCUUUCAAUGUCCAGCACAAGAAGAGUGCUUAAGGCUGACCAAUUAGAAGAAUGUCAGGGAUUUGGAAUAUAAUACUGUUCAUCCAUUCAAUUCAAUGAGAAAGGCUUUGUUUUAGUUUGUCAUUGAUGUAUGAUUAUAGAAUACUUGAUGAUGAAAAAAAAGGAAAGAUUUAAUCUGAUUUUAUCUUGAUAAAUGACCCUUGUCACUGCUAUAUAUUGAAAUGAAUAAUGUAAUUACAGAUUUUCUGGGUA